GACGAACGCUGGCGGCGUGCCUAAUACAUGCAAGUAGAACGCUGAAGGAAGGAGCUUGCUCUUUCUGGAUGAGUUGCGAACGGGUGAGUAACGCGUAGGUAACCUGCCUGGUAGCGGGGGAUAACUAUUGGAAACGAUAGCUAAUACCGCAUAAAAUUGAUUAUUGCAUGAUAGUCAAUUAAAAGGUGCAACUGCACCACUAACAGACGGACCUGCGUUGUAUUAGCUAGUUGGUGGGGUAACGGCUCACCAAGGCGACGAUACAUAGCCGACCUGAGAGGGUGCGCGGCCAAACUGGGACUGGGACACGGCCCAGACUCCUACGGGAGGCAGCAGUAGGGAAUCUUCGGCAAUGGACGGAAGUCUGACCGAGCAACGCCGCGUGAGUGAAGGAGGUUUUCGGAUCGUAAAGCUCUGUUGUAAGAGAAGAACGAGUGUGAGAGUGGAAAGUUCACACUGUGACGGUAUCUUACCAGAAAGGGACGGCUAACUACGUG
rnacentral:rRNA from 1 species